AAGCGCUUGCAAUCAGACUUGCACUUGGUGUUCAUCAGGGUCUCGUACCCUGUGUACUUCAUCAAGUUCAGGCCAGCAUCAGUUUGAGUGGUUAGAUAAAGGCUUAGAGAAUGUGGCCCUCUUCGGGGGGUGUUAUAGCUCUAGGUGAAAUGUGGUCUACUUGGAUCGAGGAACGCGCUCAUGCUCGGAUGUUGGCGUAAUGGUUGCAAGCG
rnacentral:rRNA from 1 species